ACGCUCGACACCUACGGGAGGCAGCAGUGAGGAAUAUUGGUCAAUGGGCGCUAGCCUGAACCAGCCAAGUAGCGUGAAGGAUGAAGGCUCUAUGGGUCGUAAACUUCUUUUAUAUAAGAAUAAAGUGCAGUAUGUAUACUGUUUUGUAUGUAUUAUAUGAAUAAGGAUCGGCUAACUCCGUGCCAGUAGCCGCGGUAAUCUGAGCGGGCUGGCAAGGC
rnacentral:rRNA from 1 species